rnacentral:pre_miRNA from 1 species
UUUCAGGGCCUGACCCAGAGCCCAUUAAUGUCAGUGGAAGUGUUUUCACUGACUUCAGUGGGCUUUGGGCCAAGCCUUUAUAAA